UGAUCAGUCAGGCUUCUGGUUAUUGCAGGACUCAUCUGGUCCUGGGUAUAACUAAGCCCGACUGUAUG
rfam:Mus musculus chromosome 7, GRC primary reference assembly.